AGAAGAGGCAAUCGCAGGGAAGGAUGGAUCCUGGAAGAGUUUCCCUGCCUGAAGGCACUCGUUCCUCAGCGUCUCAAAGUCCUGACUGAGCCUCUUCCCUUGAUCAGAAGUCUGCAAAAACUGGCUCCCAGAAUGGGAACAGAAUCUGGGACCUUUUUGUUCCAAAGCACAGACCUCUGCCAUUUGAACUAAAGGGGUGACCACUUAGCAGUGUCACCUCGAGAUCCCAACAGAUGCCCCGUUGUCCUAGGCACAGUCCUUGCCCCGAAGAGCCUACUGUCUAAACCAGGGCUUCUCACAACAAAUUUUUU